GGAGGGAUGCGAGAGCGGACGAAUCGGCACGCCUGGAGAGCGUGUGUGGGGCAACCUACCGUGGGUUCGAAUCCCACUCCCUCCGCCA
rnacentral:tRNA from 1 species